rnacentral:misc_RNA from 1 species
GACGGAGGGCGCAAGCGUUGUUCGGAAUCACUGGGCGUAAAGGGCGCGCAGGCGGAAAGGGAAGUCGGCGGUGAAAGGUCGGGGCUCAACCCCGAUAUGUCUGCCGAAACUCUCUUUCUAGGGACCGGUAGAGGCCGGUGGAAUUCCCGGAGUAGCGGUGGAAUGCGUAGAUAUCGGGAAGAACACCCGUGGCGAAGGCGGCCGGCUGGGCCGGGUCCGACGCUGAGGCGCGAAAGCGUGGGGAGCAAACAGG